rnacentral:rRNA from 1 species
UACGUAGGGUGCGAGCGUUGUCCGGAAUUACUGGGCGUAAAGAGCUCGUAGGUGGUUUGUCGCGUUGUUCGUGAAAACCGGGGGCUUAACCCUCGGCGUGCGGGCGAUACGGGCAGACUUGAGUACUGGAGGGGAGACUGGAAUUCCUGGUGUAGCGGUGGAAUGCGCAGAUAUCAGGAGGAACACCGGUGGCGAAGGCGGGUCUCUGGGCAGUAACUGACGCUGAGGAGCGAAAGCGUGGGGAGCGAACAGG